UUAACCCUACGGGGCGCAGCAGUAGGGAAUCUUCCACAAUGGGCGAAAGCCUGAUGGAGCAACGCCGCGUGGGUGAAGAAGGUCUUCGGAUCGUAAAACCCUGUUGUUAGAGAAGAAAGUGCGUGAGAGUAACUGUUCACGUUUCGACGGUAUCUAACCAGAAAGCCACGGCUAACUACGUGCCAGCAGCCGCGGUAAUACGUAGGUGGCAAGCGUUAUCCGGAUUUAUUGGGCGUAAGGGGAACGCAGGCGGCCUUUUAAGUCUGAUGUGAAAGCCUUCGGCUUAACCGGAGUAGUGCAUUGUG
rnacentral:rRNA from 1 species